rnacentral:rRNA from 1 species
UAGUUGGUGAGGUAACGGCUCACCAAGGCUUUGACGGGUAGCCGGCCUGAAAGGGUGAUCGGCCACACUGGCACUGAGACACGGGCCAGACUCCUACGGGAGGCAGCAGUGGGGAAUUUUGGACAAUGGGGGCAACCCUGAUCCAGCGACGCCGCGUGAAGGAUGAAGGUCUUCGGAUUGUAAACUUCUUUUAGAGGGGAUGAAUGCCGCCGUGAAUAACGGUGGGUGACAGUACUCUUUGAAUAAGCCACGGCUAACUACGUGCCAGCAGCCGCGGUAAUACGUAGGUGGCAAGCGAUACUCGGAAUCACUAGGCGUAAAGCGCAGGUAGGCGGUUUGGUAAGUCUUUUGUGAAAGCUCCUGGCUCAACUGGGAGAGGUCAAGGGAAACUACCGGACUAGAGUGUGGUAGGGGAUACUGGAAUUCCUGGUGUAGCGGUGAAAUGCGUAGAUAUCAGGAGGAAUACCUAUGGCGAAAGCAGGUAUCUGGGCCAUCACUGACGCUGAGCUGCGAAAGCUAGGGGAGCAAACAGGAUUAGAUACCCUGGUAGUCCUAGCCCUAAACGAUGCUCAUUAGAUGUGGGAGGUAUCGACCCCUUCCGCGUCGCAGCUAACGCAUUAAAUGAGCCGCCUGGGGAGUACGGCCGCAAGGUUGAAACUCAAAGGAAUUGACG